GCUACUCGUCAGGUUAUUCCUCCCGAUCUCCUCCCUUCUUGUAACCUCCAGUCCUCCUCGAUCUCACUCUCCUCCCUCUCCUCUGCGCCCGCCGACGUAGGCCGCGUCUCCGUGUCCUUGGCCAUGCCGGCGGCGGCAGCGAUGCGGUUUGGCGUCGGCGCCGACGGAGUUCUCCUUGCCCAUCAAUCCCAUGUCUGGACCAAGCACGACACCACCUCGGUGUUGAAUGCCGUGACAAUGCCCGCCCGGGCUCAAACCCCCCUCCCCCACGAGCUCCUCCUCGACGCGCCGCCACCCACGCUCAGACCUCGGCGCCACCCAUGGCCUCCGCCCACGCUCCCCGCCCUCUCCCCUCCCCUCCCCUUCCUAUCGAACCACCAGAUCGAGCGGCGGCCAGAUCCAUCCGCCACGGUCGCCCAGGGCUCGCGCGCCUCCUCCGACGCGGCUGUGCCCGUGCGUCAAGGGCCUGCUCGGAGAUGCUUCUACUCCGCCAUGGCCAUGGAGCUUCCUCCCAAUCCAAGGUCUUGGACUGGACGGGGACGGCUGCUCUUCGAAAGUCUCGUCUCUUCUCUUCCGAUCCAUCCAUCCCACACCCCAUUCUAUUUGCAUAUCUGUAGAUACAUAUUCAGAUCAAACUGAACCCCAAACCAUGGGCACUACUUCAAGAAAUAUAGUCCAGUAGGACCACGGAGGUGUGUCCCGGUAGAGUGAAAAAAUAUCCUCUGCCUUAUGCCCUAUGUGUUAGUUAUUUACAUACGUACGAGGGAUCUCUGAUUCAGACCCUAGAUUGCAUAGAUGCUGUUAGUAUGAUUCAGUCUCCAGGUUUUUUAUGUCAACUAGGAAAGUCUGCAGUCAUUUGAAAAGCUAAUCUUGAUAACCAUGUAUUAUCUCAUCAUACUCUUCCUUUAAAGGGAUAAAUAGUGCCUUUUACAGUAUAUUCUCCUGGAUAGUUCUGUGCUAUUUCUAACAUUUGAAUAUGGUAGAUUGACCUCUGAAUCAAAUUAAGGUUUCUAGACCCUUUCGCAGAGUUACGCCAUCAUCCAUCUGUAUGUUUUUAUAUAUGUUGCCAUGUUGCUACAAGUUAGUAAUUUGACGAAAUCACCCCACUGUUCCAUUAGUUACUGCCUAAGAGAUUGUUGCUUUCUAUCAUCUGAACCUGACUAGAAAUAAUUAUUUUCGAAGUUGGCCCUUUGCUGGAGUUUGAUAGCAUAUUACAUUAAUCAUUUACAAUUUAUUUGACUCAUGGAGAGAAUAUGAUCCCGUUAUUCACCUGAAUAUCAUUCGUACCAACUGAUAUUAGGACAAUGUAUUCAAUCAUCAUGGCUGAUUUCCUUUCCCCUUAGCAAUUGCUUAAACAGAACAACUGAACAAGACUGACUUUAUUUGAUGCAUUAUAUACAUACCUCUAAAACCAAGCAUGUUUAGACUUUUUAAUAUACACAAGAAAAUGCAUUGUGGGCAUUGCGGCGUCUAGCUCAGAAAGUUUCAUGGCGGCAACUUUUGCCGAAGAUAAACCAACAAUUUAGUAGUCAAGGAACCAUCCUUUUUCCUUAUGCAUGGAAGAAAAAGAUCAUCUUUAGCUGUACUGCACUAUUUGGGUGCACACUCAGUACAAUAUCUUUAGCUUCUUCAAUAUGUUCAGGAUGGUACUUGCUUUCGUUUAUAUUUGUGUCAUCAUUUCUUACAAUCUAAUACCGAGUAAUACAAUAUUUCUUGUAUGAUUUGGACUGUAGAAGUUGGUGUACAGAAGAAGAAAGGGCGAGGUGUUCUAAAAGGUUUUAAAGCAUCUAAGAAGUGUUUUGCCAAUGGAUCUGCAAAGCUAAAUAUUACAUUCUCUGAAAAAUUGGGUGGUAUAGUAGGAAUGAACUAUCGUUCAUUCAAGGAUGAUGUGGUAGUCAUAAUGAAAAGAAAGUUACCACUCAUUGGAGUGAGGACGUGGUCGGGCAUUCACCCUACAAUCCAUCAACUCAUUGUUGUAGAUAUGAUAGACAUAUGGGACUUGGAAGAUACACCAGAAACAGAAGAAAAAGUUCUCAAAAUUGCGAAAGAGCGAUAUAGAGGCUGGUGAUCAACUCUAAGCUCCUCUUACAAGGCAUACAAAACAGAUGCAACUAGAUUGACUAAUCUGCCGGAAGAUUUACAACCAGAAGAGUGGGAAUGGAUGAUUGAGUACUUUGGCACGGAUUCAAAAUUUCAGGAACGCAGCCAAAAGAACAUCGAUAACCGUAAGAAACUGAAGACAAAACACAUAAUUGGAUCAAAAUCUUACUCGCAAGUAAGUUUUGAGAAGGUAUGAGUCCAACUAAAUAUUGGAAGAGGAGUGAACAUCAAGACUGGAAUUUGAAAAGAACAUGAUGGCAAAGUUUGCAGAAUGGAGUCAACAGAUGGGAACCCAACAGGUGCCUACGAAGAGGGUUGACAACAAAGAAAAUAGUAAUCCAAACUUGCAAAAUAUUCUGUUACAGAGAUCUAGUCCUAAUAAGACUUCAGGUUCAAGGCCUACUGCUAUUUCUUCAAAUGCGCUCAUACAAGCUGUAGCAAGGAAUUCCCGGAUGUUUAAAGCAAUGGAUGUCAUGAGCAUGGGCGUGAUGCCUUCGCUGCUGACUCCAUUGCAAUGUCCCAUGCAAUAUCUCUUUCCGCUGAUAUAUGGGUCAUGAGGGUCAUUUUUGAAACGGACUCGCAACUCCAGAUGGAAGCACUGAAUAUCAAUAAGGAUCCAAAGAACUAGUUGGACUGGACUCUAGAUCACGGACAUUCUAGUCUUCGCAAUUAAUUAGGAUGGCGAAAUUACAUUUGAGUUUCAUUUGAUGGAUAUUUGCUAUGAGAAUUAUGAAUUUUAUGAAUUUACAUAUUAUACGUAUGGUUUUGAAUAUUGUAAUUGAAAGCCUGUAUUUUUUUUACGGUUGCAAUAGGCUAUUACCACAACCCACUUUCGGUUGCCACAUGCUAGCACCUCUGCAAAUAUAUUGUUGCGUCA